rnacentral:rRNA from 1 species
AACGAACGCUGGCGGCAGGCCUAACACAUGCAAGUCGAGCGCGCCUUCGGGCGAGCGGCGGACGGGUUAGUAACGCGUGGGAACGUGCCCAGAUCUACGGAAUAGCCACUGGAAACGGUGAGUAAUACCGUAUACGCCCUUCGGGGGAAAGAUUUAUCGGAUUUGGAUCGGCCCGCGUUAGAUUAGGUAGUUGGUGGGGUAACGGCCUACCAAGCCUACGAUCUAUAGCUGGUUUUAGAGGAUGAUCAGCAACACUGGGACUGAGACACGGCCCAGACUCCUACGGGAGGCAGCAGUGGGGAAUCUUGGACAAUGGGGGCAACCCUGAUCCAGCCAUGCCGCGUGAGUGAAGAAGGCCCUAGGGUCGUAAAACUCUUUCGCCUGUGAUGAUAAUGACAGUAGCAGGUAAAGAAACCCCGGCUAACUCCGUGCCAGCAGCCGCGGUAAUACGGAGGGGGUUAGCGUUGUUCGGAAUUACUGGGCGUAAAGCGCACGUAGGCGGAUUAGAAAGUUAGAGGUGAAAUCCCGGGGCUCAACCCCGGAACUGCCUUUAAAACUACUAGUCUAGAGUUCGAGAGAGGUGAGUGGAAUUCCGAGUGUAGAGGUGAAAUUCGUAGAUAUUCGGAGGAACACCAGUGGCGAAGGCGGCUCACUGGCUCGAUACUGACGCUGAGGUGCGAAAGUGUGGGGAGCAAACAGGAUUAGAUACCCUGGUAGUCCACACCGUAAACGAUGAAUGCCAGUCGUCGGGUAGUAUACUAUUCGGUGACACACCUAACGGAUUAAGCAUUCCGCCUGGGGAGUACGGUCGCAAGAUUA